AGUGAACGCUGGCGGUAUGCCUAACACAUGCAAGUCGAACGGCAGCACAGUAAGAGCUUGCUCUUACUGGUGGCGAGUGGCGGACGGGUGAGGAAUACAUCGGAAUCUACUUUUUCGUGGGGGAUAACGUAGGGAAACUUACGCUAAUACCGCAUACGACCUACGGGUGAAAGCAGGGGAUCUUCAGACCUUGCGCGAUUGAAUGAGCCGAUGUCGGAUUAGCUAGUUGGCGGGGUAAAGGCCCACCAAGGCGACGAUCCGUAGCUGGUCUGAGAGGAUGAUCAGCCACACUGGAACUGAGACACGGUCCAGACUCCUACGGGAGGCAGCAGUGGGGAAUAUUGGACAAUGGGCGCAAGCCUGAUCCAGCAAUACCGCGUGGGUGAAGAAGGCCUUCGGGUUGUAAAGCCCUUUUGUUGGGAAAGAAAAGCAGCAGGUUAAUCCCCCGCUGUUCUGACGGUACCCAAAGAAUAAGCACCGGCUAACUUCGUG
rnacentral:rRNA from 1 species